ensembl:snRNA U6 U6 spliceosomal RNA
GUGCUUGCUUUGACAGCACAUAUACUAAAAUUGAAAUGAUACAGAGAAGACUAACAUACAUGGCCCCUGUGUAAGGAUGACAUGCUAAUUCAUGAAGUGUUAAGUAUUUUA